rnacentral:ribozyme from 15 species
UUUUUUUUUUUUUUUUUUUUUUUUUUUUUUUUUUUUUUUUUAAAAUUUGCAAAUCUGAUAAGUUGGGG